rnacentral:rRNA from 1 species
GACGAACGCUGGCGGCGUGCUUAACACAUGCAAGUCGAACGGAAAGGCCCUGCUUUUGUGGGGUGCUCGAGUGGCGAACGGGUGAGUAACACGUGAGUAACCUGCCCUUGACUUUGGGAUAACUUCAGGAAACUGGGGCUAAUACCGGAUAGGAGCUCCUGCUGCAUGGUGGGGGUUGGAAAGCUUCGGCGGUUGGGGAUGGACUCGCGGCUUAUCAGCUUGUUGGUGGGGUAGUGGCUUACCAGGGCUUUGACGGGUAGCCGGCCUGAGAGGGUGACCGGCCACAUUGGGACUGAGAUACGGCCCAGACUCCUACGGGAGGCAGCAGUGGGGAAUAUUGCACAAUGGGCGGAAGCCUGAUGCAGCAACGCCGCGUGCGGGAUGACGGCCUUCGGGUUGUAAACCGCUUUCGCCUGUGACGAAGCGUGAGUGACGGUAAUGGGUAAAGAAGCACCGGCUAACUACGUGCCAGCAGCCGCGGUGAUACGUAGGGUGCGAGCGUUGUCCGGAUUUAUUGGGCGUAAAGGGCUCGUGGGUGGUUGAUCGCGUCGGAAGUGUAAUCUUGGGGCUUAACCCUGAGCGUGCUUUCGAUACGGGUUGACUUGAGGAAGGUAGGGGAGAAUGGAAUUCCUGGUGGAGCGGUGGAAUGCGCAGAUAUCAGGAGGAACACCAGUGGCGAAGGCGGUUCUCUGGGCCUUCCCUGACGCUGAGGAGCGAAAGCGUGGGGAGCGAACAGGCUUAGAUACCCUGGUAGUCCACGCUGUAAACGGUGGGUACUAGGUGUGGGGUCCAUUCCACGGGUUCCGUGCCGUAGCUAACGCUUUAAGUACCCCGCCUGGGGAGUACGGCCGCAAGGCUAAAACUCAAAGGAAUUGACGGGGCCCCGCACAAGCGGCGGAGCAUGCGGAUUAAUUCGAUGCAACGCGUAGAACCUUACCUGGGUUUGACAUGGAUCGGGAGUGCUCAGAGAUGGGUGUGCCUCUUUUGGGGUCGGUUCACAGGUGGUGCAUGGCUGUCGUCAGCUCGUGUCGUGAGAUGUUGGGUUAAGUCCCGCAACGAGCGCAACCCUUGUUCACUGUUGCCAGCACGUUAUGGUGGGGACUCAGUGGAGACCGCCGGGGUCAACUCGGAGGAAGGUGGGGAUGACGUCAAGUCAUCAUGCCCCUUAUGUCCAGGGCUUCACGCAUGCUACAAUGGCUGGUACAGAGAGUGGCGAGCCUGUGAGGGUGAGCGAAUCUCGGAAAGUCGGUCUCAGUUCGGAUUGGGGUCUGCAACUCGACCUCAUGAAGUCGGAGUCGCUAGUAAUCGCAGAUCAGCAACGCUGCGGUGAAUACGUUCCCGGG